GACGAACGCUGGCGGCGUGCUUAACACAUGCAAGUCGAACGGAAAGGCCCUGCUUUUGUGGGGUGCUCGAGUGGCGAACGGGUGAGUAACACGUGAGUAACCUGCCCUUGACUUUGGGAUAACUUCAGGAAACUGGGGCUAAUACCGGGUAGGAGCUCCUGCUGCAUGGUGGGGGUUGGAAAGUUUCGGCGGUUGGGGAUGGACUCGCGGCUUAUCAGCUUGUUGGUGGGGUAGUGGCUUACCAAGGCUUUGACGGGUAGCCGGCCUGGGAGGGUGACCGGCCACAUUAGGACUGAGAUACGGCCCAGACUCCUACGGGAGGCAGCAGUGGGGAAUAUUGCACAAUGGGCGGAAGCCUGAUGCAGCAACGCCGCGUGCGGGAUGACGGCCUUCGGGUUGUAAACCGCUUUCGCCUGUGACGAAGAGUGAGUGACGGUAAUGGGUAAAGAAGCACCGGCUAACUACGUG
rnacentral:rRNA from 1 species